UACCAAACCUUUUUGUCAGGGUGCUUCUCUAUCCGUUUUAGGAUAAACUUAUCUACAGAAGUGUCUGUUACUGUUUUGGAAGAGUAAUACUGUUCGUUUAUCCAUAUUUCCCCGUUCUGGGGAAGCCUCAUGGGUAAAUUAGAAGGACAACCUUUGUUUUAAAGGUAUACCUUCGCUUUUUAGAACAGCGAGGAUCUUAUGAGUUGAGCUUUUGUUAUUUGAGACUUUAUCUCGGGCUCCAUACAAUAUGUUCGUAGUAAAGAUCCUCACAAUU
rnacentral:snoRNA from 1 species